ACUCCUGCGGGAGGCAGCAGUGGGGAAUUUUGGACAAUGGGCGAAAGCCUGAUCCAGCAAUGCCGCGUGUGUGAAGAAGGCCUUCGGGUUGUAAAGCACUUUUGUCCGGAAAGAAAUCCUUGGCUCUAAUACAGUCGGGGGAUGACGGUACCGGAAGAAUAAGCACCGGCUAACUACGUGCCAGCAGCCGCGGUAAUACGUAGGGUGCGAGCGUUAAUCGGAAUUACUGGGCGUAAAGCGUGCGCAGGCGGUUUGCUAAGACCGAUGUGAAAUCCCCGGGCUCAACCUGGGAACUGCAUUGGUGACUGGCAGGCUAGAGUAUGGCAGAGGGGGGUAGAAUUCCACGUGUAGCAGUGAAAUGCGUAGAGAUGUGGAGGAAUACCGAUGGCGAAGGCAGCCCCCUGGGCCAAUACUGACGCUCAUGCACGAGAGCGUGGGGAGCAAACAGGAUUAGAAACCCGGGUAGUCCC
rnacentral:rRNA from 1 species